rnacentral:rRNA from 1 species
CCAUUUUUUGGGGGGAAAUCAGAGGCAAACGGGUGGGCCCUCGAAAUCCGUCGGCGGGGGAUUCAGUCGGGAAGUACGGGCUCGUGCGCCGGUGGUUUGUUCGGACCCUCUCCUGGGCCGUGCCGGCGUCGUAGUCUCCGUGUGACCCGACGCACUUCCUCCCGCCCUUAGGACGCCGCAGCCGGUUGGGUAGAUGCGCGCGUCGGCCAUAAGGAAGUCCGCCGGAAGGUGGCCAGUGGCGAGCCCUGGCGUUCGUCGCUGGUCGUUAUCCAGGGCCUCCGUGGCACGACACCCGACCGAGGUCGAUGGGUCCCGGUUAGGACCUUGCCGUCCCCUCCCCUUUGUGGUCGAGCAGGAGCGCAGGCAGGCGUUUCUCCGUGCGGUGGUUUCACUCUUGGAGUGGUCCGUCGCUUGGGGACGCUGUUGGCGCGGUGUUUUCCUGCGCAGGGGUGAUUCAGGCGGCUGGCGGCGAGUAGGUCGGUCACCCACCCGACCCGUCUUGAAACACGGACCAAGGAGUCUAACAUGUGCGCGAGUCAUUGGGUCUUGUUCAGGCCCAGAGGCGCAAUGAAAGUGAAGGCCUUCCCCGUGGUCGGCCGAGUUGGGACUCUCCGUCGCUCGUGGCGGGGAAGCACCAACGGCUCGCCCUGUCCGGCCCGUUCGGUUGGGCGAAGCGUGAGCGUACACGUACCAG